GACGAACGCUGGCGGCGUGCUUAACACAUGCAAGUCGAACGGUAAGGCCCUUCGGGGUACACGAGUGGCGAACGGGUGAGUAACACGUGGGUGAUCUGCCCCGCACUUCGGGAUAAGCCUGGGAAACUGGGUCUAAUACCGGAUAGGACUCCGGACUGCAUGGUCUGGGGUGGAAAGCUUUUGCGGUGUGGGAUGGGCCCGCGGCCUAUCAGCUUGUUGGUGGGGUGAUGGCCUACCAAGGCGACGACGGGUAGCCGGCCUGAGAAGGUGACCGGCCACACUGGGACUGAGAUACGGCCCAGACUCCUACGGGAGGCAGCAGUGGGGAAUAUUGCACAAUGGGCGCAAGCCUGAUGCAGCGACGCCGCGUGAGGGAUGACGGCCUUCGGGUUGUAAACCUCUUUCAGUAUCGACGAAGCGAAAGUGACGGUAGGUGCAGAAGAAGGACCGGCCAACUACGUGCCAGCCGCCGCCGUAA
rnacentral:rRNA from 1 species